AAUUCUUUCUCUUAUGUAUGGAACCAAUAGAUUAAUUUAUUGAACAUGUACUAAAUUUCUGCUAUAUAUAAGAAGUUAGAAGAUAUAAAAGAGAAGCAGAAACUAAUCAUUCCUGUUGAGAAUUUAUAAUCUAAUAGGAGUACUCAAACUUUCACAUAAAUAAAAUACUAUGCAGAAACUUCUAAACCCCUAUGCAUGGGACCUGGAGUGGCCUUGUCCUGAGUGUAAUGUACUAAAAGCUUUAAAUGGAUAAUCAUCCCUGCUACAAUGUGGUACCUAUGUGUGCAGGUAUUUAUCCUUAACUCCAAGUCCCAGAGCUGUACAUGGAAAAUUUCAUUACAUGUGGCACAGAUAUUUAUUUAACAAAUCUCAUUGUGCCUUUACAACCUUAUGAGGAAAAUAGAGUGGUUAAUGUCUAGGUCCUAGAAAGUCUCCUGGAUUUGAAUCCUGGCUCCAUUACUUGCUGUGAAAUGAUCUUGGUGAAGUUACUGGCUGUCUGUGACUCAGUUUCCUGACAUGAAAAGUGUGGUUAAUAAUAGUGCCUAGUAACAGUACCAAACAAUAAUGUCAGUAAUCACGAGGAUGUCAUAAGGUAAUUAAUGUACCACAUUUGGAAUAGUGCCUGACAUGAUAAACACUAAAAUGUCAACUCAUUACUGUCACUACAAUGAUCCCCAUUUUACAAAGAAAUGAAGGCUUGAAGGUGUUCAUUAAGCCAUGUCUGGGUUUUAACUGUAUCACUCUAACAUCACCGGAAAAAGUGAAAAAGCAAAGCAGACCAAGAUUCGUGUCAGAGCAUUUUCUUGUAAGGGAUCAAACUCGGGACCUUGCGCGGCAGGUGCUGGAACCACUGAGCUAAACCUCCAGCCCUCCUACUUUCCUUCUUAAAGAGUCAGUUUUUUCUGUCAGAGAAGCCCCCUGGGGUGGGUAGAUGGCCUGGCUGUUGGUGCAGCCGUUUUUGCACAACUCAUGAGGCAGUUUAUAGCACAAUUUUGAAAUACCAGGGAUAGCAGGAUUACUAAUCACGCUGUCUGCUGAUGUAAACUCUAUUUAGAUAGAGUUUUAAAAAUAACCUAAAAUACAAUUACCACCAGGAAGACAGGGCUGGUUGAAUGACUACAGAAAUAUCAUUCAGAUAAUUCAUUAACUAAUUAC
ensembl:lncRNA